AUUGAACGCUGGCGGCAGGCCUAACACAUGCAAGUCGAACGGUAACAGGAAGAAGCUUGCUUCUUUGCUGACGAGUGGCGGACGGGUGAGUAAUGUCUGGGAAACUGCCUGAUGGAGGGGGAUAACUACUGGAAACGGUAGCUAAUACCGCAUAAUGUCGCAAGACCAAAGAGGGGGACCUUCGGGCCUCUUGCCAUCGGAUGUGCCCAGAUGGGAUUAGCUAGUAGGUGGGGUAACGGCUCACCUAGGCGACGAUCCCUAGCUGGUCUGAGAGGAUGACCAGCCACACUGGAACUGCGCCACGGUCCAGACUCCUCCGGGAGGCAGCAGUGGGGAAUAUUGCACAAUGGGCGCAAGCCUGAUGCAGCUAUGCCGCGUGUAUGAAGAAGGCCUUCGGGUUGUAAAGUACUUUCAGCGGGGAGGAAGGGAGUAAAGUUAAUACCUUUGCUCAUUGACGUUACCCGCAGAAGAAGCACCGGCUAACUCCGUG
rnacentral:rRNA from 1 species